rnacentral:rRNA from 1 species
GAUGAACGCUGGCGGCGCGCCUAACACAUGCAAGUCGAACGAGCGAGAGAGAGCUUGCUUUCUUGAGCGAGUGGCGAACGGGUGAGUAACGCGUGAGGAACCUGCCUCAAAGAGGGGGACAACAGUUGGAAACGACUGCUAAUACCGCAUAAGCCCACGACCCGGCAUCGGGUUGAGGGAAAAGGAGUGAUCCGCUUUGAGAUGGCCUCGCGUCCGAUUAGCUAGUUGGUGAGGUAACGGCCCACCAAGCCUUCGAUGGAUAGGGGUUCUGAGAGGAAGGUCCCCCACAUUGGAACUGAGACACGGUCCAA